AACGAACGCUGGCGGCAUGCCUAAUACAUGCAAGUCGAACGAGAUCUUCGGAUCUAGUGGCGCACGGGUGCGUAACGCGUGGGAAUCUGCCCUUGGGUUCGGAAUAACUUCUGGAAACGGAAGCUAAUACCGGAUGAUGACGCAAGUCCAAAGAUUUAUCGCCCAAGGAUGAGCCCGCGUAGGAUUAGCUAGUUGGUGGGGUAAAGGCCCACCAAGGCGACGAUCCUUAGCUGGUCUGAGAGGAUGAUCAGCCACACUGGGACUGAGACACGGCCCAGACUCCUACGGGAGGCAGCAGUAGGGAAUAUUGGACAAUGGGGGAAACCCUGAUCCAGCAAUGCCGCGUGAGUGAUGAAGGCCUUAGGGUUGUAAAGCUCUUUUACCCGGGAUGAUAAUGACAGUACCGGGAGAAUAAGCUCCGGCUAACUCCGUG
rnacentral:rRNA from 1 species